UACGGAGGGGGCUAGCGUUGUUCGGAAUUACUGGGCGUAAAGCGCACGUAGGCGGCUUUGUAAGUUAGGGGUGAAAUCCCGGAGCUCAACUCCGGAACUGCCUCUAAGACUGCAUCGCUUGAAUCCAGGAGAGGUGAGUGGAAUUCCGAGUGUAGAGGUGAAAUUCGUAGAUAUUCGGAAGAACACCAGUGGCGAAGGCGGCUCACUGGACUGGUAUUGACGCUGAGGUG
rnacentral:rRNA from 1 species